rnacentral:rRNA from 1 species
GCAGUUUGAUGAUGGGCGAAAGCCUGAUGUGCGACACCGCGUGCGGGAUGACGGCCUUCGGGUUGUAAACCGCUUUCAGGAGGGAAGAAAUUGACGGUACCUCCAGAAGAAGCUCCGGCCAACUACGUGCCACAGCCGCGGUAAUACGUAGGGAGCAAACGUUGUCCGGAUUUAUUGGGCGUAAAGGGCUCGUAGGCGGUUCAACAAGUCGGUCGUGAAAGCCCGGAGCUCAACUCCGGGACGCCGGUCGAAACUGUUGUGACUAGAGUUCGGUAGAGGUGAGUGGAAUUCUCGGUGUAGCGGUGGAAUGCGCAGAUAUCGAGAGGAACACCAUUAGCGAAGGCGGCUCACUGGGCCGAUACUGACGCUGAGGAGCGAAAGCGUGGGGAGCAAACAGGAUUAGAUACCCUGGUAGUCCACGCCGUAAACGAUGAACACUAGGUGUAGCGAUCUGAUUCACGAUCGCUGUGCCGUAGCUAACGCAUUAAGUGUUCCGCCUGGGGAGUACGGCCGCAAGGCUAAAACUCAAAUAUUUUGGCGGG